GCAGUGCCUGAAAAGCCAACUGCUGCUCCCAAACCUCCACAGCCUGAUGCCCCACAGGGCCCAGUACAGCAGCCCUUCUACCCAUUCCCCUACGUCCCUCAGCCAGAAGCCUGAACAGCAAACUUACUGGCCCCACCAGCCUGCUGAAAAGGCAACGGAUGCUCCUAAACAACCACAUCUACAACCAUAUAUUCACAACUUGUAACUUUACCCCCCUGCUACCACCUUGCAGCAACCACAACAGGUCACAGCUCACUCAAUAGGCAUUCCAUACAUGCCACCAAAUGUACUGUCCUCAGUUCUGCCCAUCUGGGAUUUCUAAUCUGCUGUCCUCAAAAUUGCUUUUCAUCCAACAUCUCCAUCAAAUAGUCCCUUCUGACUUGGCAUUCCAGAGUCACCUUCAUUCCAGUCAGGACUGCCUGUUUCCUUCCUUCAAAUGGCAUAUCUUCAAUGGCAUAUUCUGGUUUUUGGCAAGGGCUUGGAAUUUGCCUCAAAGCCAACUGAAACAUCAAUGCAACCUACCACAACAACAUCUUCACCUAUUCCUCAGUCCCUUCCAUCUCGACAUGAAAAGCAACCAAAUGUCCAACCACUAGAUGGAAUUCCUGCUGCAAAUCAUGAUUUAAUCAACCCAACAAAACCUGAAUGGUCAGUUUAUCCUUAUAGUGUACCAGGAUUAACUUAUCCUAAUUUGCAAUAUUUACCACAAGGCCAAUUGCCAUUUAAAUACAAUGUGCCUUCUAGACCACAGGCUCCAGGUAUUGAACCAGUGCUGCAAUAUGAGCCAUAUAACAUACAGGCCCAAAAGGGCCAAUUAUCACCCAGGGGCAUGAGUUAUCCAUCAGGGCCUAAUUUCAUGUCCCAUAUUGGCCAAUACCUACAACUGCAGCAUAAAGCCAAGCGGGGAAAUGUGCUUCCGGCCAAGGAACUACAGCCAUCCAACAAAAAUGCCAGUCUAUCUAAAGGUCCUGAACCUGAUCGUCUUCUGGUCCCGUACUACAUGCUUCAAGAUGCUCAAAUGCAUACCGAUGACAAAUCAAGGGCCUCUGGCAACGCCUCACAGCCAUAUGUGACUGCCUCAAAGAAAGCAAAUGAACAUGAGCAGACUGUGCACUAUUCUGAACCAAAGAGUUAUGUGCUUCUACAGCAUGGCCCACCAGGAAGGGAGUCUGAUGAUAAUCCAAAAGGACUGAGCCAACUGCUUCAGAGAUGGGGUAUGAAAAAGGAAACAGAAAUGAGUCCUUAAAUGUGAAUAAAGA